rnacentral:rRNA from 1 species
GACAGAGGUGCCAAGCGUUAGGCGGAAUCACUGGGCUUAAAGCGUGUGUAGGCGGAAUUGUAAGUACCUUGUGAAAUCCCAUGGCUCAACCAUGGAACUGCUCGGUAUACUGCUUUUCUUGAGCCACUUAGGGGCUACCGGAACAAAUGGUGGAGCGGUGAAAUGCGUAGAUAUCAUUUGGAACGCCAAUGGUGAAAACAGGUAGCUGGGAGUGUGCUGACGCUGAGACACGAAAGCCAGGGGAGCGAACGGG